rnacentral:rRNA from 1 species
AGAGUUUGAUCCUGGCUCAGGAUGAACGCUAGCUACAGGCUUAACACAUGCAAGUCGAGGGGAAACGGUAUUGGAAGCUUGCUUCCGAUAGGCGUCGACCGGCGCACGGGUGAGUAACGCGUAUCCAACCUGCCCACCACUUGGGGAUAACCUUGCGAAAGUAAGACUAAUACCCAAUGAUAUCUCUAGAAGACAUCUGAAAGAGAUUAAAGAUUUAUCGGUGAUGGAUGGGGAUGCGACUGAUUAGCUUGUUGGCGGGGUAACGGCCCACCAAGGCAACGAUCAGUAGGGGUUCUGAGAGGAAGGUCCCCCACAUUGGAACUGAGACACGGUCCAAACUCCUACGGGAGGCAGCAGUGAGGAAUAUUGGUCAAUGGACGAGAGUCUGAACCAGCCAAGUAGCGUGCAGGAAGACGGCCCUAUGGGUUGUAAACUGCUUUUAUAAGGGAAUAAAGUGAGAGUCGUGACUCUUUUUGCAUGUACCUUAUGAAUAAGGACCGGCUAAUUCCGUGCCAGCAGCCGCGGUAAUACGGAAGGUCCGGGCGUUAUCCGGAUUUAUUGGGUUUAAAGGGGGCGUAGGCCGGAGAUUAAGCGUGUUGUGAAAUGUAGACGCUCAACGUCUGCACUGCAGCGCGAACUGGUUUCCUUGAGUACGCACAAAGUGGGCGGAAUUCGUGGUGUAGCGGUGAAAUGCUUAGAUAUCACGAAGAACUCCGAUUGCGAAGGCAGCUCACUGGAGCGCAACUGACGCUGAAGCUCGAAAGUGCGGGUAUCGAACAGGAUUAGAUACCCUGGUAGUCCGCACGGUAAACGAUGGAUGCCCGCUGCUGGUCUGAAUAGGUCAGCGGCCAAGCGAAAGCAUUAAGCAUCCCACCUGGGGAGUACGCCGGCAACGGUGAAACUCAAAGGAAUUGACGGGGGCCCGCACAAGCGGAGGAACAUGUGGUUUAAUUCGAUGAUACGCGAGGAACCUUACCCGGGCUUGAAUUGCAGAGGAAGGAUUUGGAGACAAUGACGCCCUUCGGGGCCUCUGUGAAGGUGCUGCAUGGUUGUCGUCAGCUCGUGUCGUGAGAUGUUGGGUUAAGUCCCGCAACGAGCGCAACCCUUAUGGUCAGUUACUACGCAAGAGGACUCUGGCCAGACUGCCGUUGACAAAACGGAGGAAGGUGGGGAUGACGUCAAAUCAUCAUGCCCUUUAUGACUUGGGCUACACACGUACUACAAUGGCGUUAAACAAAGAGAAGCAAGACCGCGAGGUGGAGCAAAACUCAGAAACAACGUCCCAGUUCGGACUGCAGGCUGCAACUCGCCUGCACGAAGUCGGAAUUGCUAGUAAUCGCAGAUCAGCAUGCUGCGGUGAAUACGUUCCCGGGCCUUGUACACACCGCCCGUCACACCAUGAGAGCCGGGGGGACCCGAAGUCGGUAGUCUAACCGCAAGGAGGACGCCGCCGAAGGUAAAACUGGUGAUUGGGGUGAAGUCGUAACAAGGUA